GGAGGAUUAGCUCAGCUGGGAGAGCGUCUGCCUUACAAGCAGGAUGUCGGCGGUUCGAUCCCGUCAUCCUCCA
rnacentral:tRNA from 7 species